UACAGAGGUCCCAAGCGUUGUUCGGAUUCAUUGGGCGUAAAGGGUGGCGUAGGCGGCGCGGUAAGUCGGGUGUGAAAUCUCGGAGCUUAACUCCGAAACUGCAUUCGAUACUGCCGUGCUUGAGGACUGGAGAGGAGACUGGAAUUUACGGUGUAGCGGUGAAAUGCGUAGAUAUCGUAAGGAAGACCAGUGGCGAAGGCGGGUCUCUGGACAGUUCCUGACGCUGAGGCACGAAGGCCAGGGGAGCAAACGGG
rnacentral:rRNA from 1 species